rnacentral:rRNA from 1 species
AGAGUUUGAUUAUGGCUCAGGAUGAACGCUAGCUACAGGCUUAACACAUGCAAGUCGAGGGCAGCAUGAACUUAGCUUGCUAAGUUGAUGGCGACCGGCGCACGGGUGAGUAACGCGUAUCCAACCUUCCCCUUAGUAGGGCAUAGCCCGAUGAAAAUCGGAUUAAUACCCUAUGUUUUCCAAUGAGGACAUCUGAGCUGGAACAAAGAUUCAUCGCUAAGGGAUGGGGAUGCGUCCGAUUAGGUAGUCGGCGGGGUAACGGCCCACCGAGCCAUCGAUCGGUAGGGGUUCUGAGAGGAAGGUCCCCCACAUUGGAACUGAGACACGGUCCAAACUCCUACGGGAGGCAGCAGUGAGGAAUAUUGGUCAAUGGGCGAGAGCCUGAACCAGCCAAGUAGCGUGCCAGGAUGACGGCCCUAUGGGUUGUAAACUGCUUUUAUGCGGGGAUAAAGUGCGCCACGUGUGGCGUUUUGUAGGUACCGCAUGAAUAAGGACCGGCUAAUUCCGUGCCAGCCGCCGC